rfam:Streptomyces sp. GKT 895 contig18, whole genome shotgun sequence.
CUCGUCCGUCCCGUGGACGGCCUGACCAUACGGUGCCGGUCCCGGCUACCCUGGCCGCGUGCGCCCGCUGUGGGAAGCCCCACGGCAGGACGCAAAGCCGACAGCCGUCGCACCCAAAGGGAGCCCUUUCAUG